rnacentral:rRNA from 1 species
GAACGCUGGCGGCGUGCCUAAUACAUGCAAGUAGAACGCUGAAGAGAGGAGCUUGCUCUUCUUGGAUGAGUUGCGAACGGGUGAGUAACGCGUAGGUAACCUGCCUGGUAGCGGGGGAUAACUAUUGGAAACGAUAGCUAAUACCGCAURAAAUUGMUUAUYGCAUGAUAAUUAAUUGAAAGAUGCAAYUGCAUCACUACCAGAUGGACCUGCGUUGUAUUAGCUAGUUGGUGAGGUAACGGCUCACCAAGGCGACGAUACAUAGCCGACCUGAGAGGGUGAUCGGCCACACUGGGACUGAGACACGGCCCAGACUCCUACGGGAGGCAGCAGUAGGGAAUCUUCGGCAAUGGGGGGAACCCUGACCGAGCAACGCCGCGUGAGUGAAGAAGGUUUUCGGAUCGUAAAGCUCUGUUGUAAGAGAAGAACGGGUGUGAGAGUGGAAAGUUCACACUGUGACGGUAUCUUACCAGAAAGGGACGGCUAACUACGUGCCAGCAGCCGCGGUAAUACGUAGGUCCCGAGCGUUGUCCGGAUUUAUUGGGCGUAAAGCGAGCGCAGGCGGUUAGAUAAGUCUGAAGUUAAAGGCUGUGGCUUAACCAUAGUAUGCUUUGGAAACUGUUUAACUUGAGUGCAGAAGGGGAGAGUGGAAUUCCAUGUGUAGCGGUGAAAUGCGUAGAUAUAUGGAGGAACACCGGUGGCGAAAGCGGCUCUCUGGUCUGUAACUGACGCUGAGGCUCGAAAGCGUGGGGAGCAAACAGGAUUAGAUA